CUGGGGGUGCUACACAUGCAAGUCCGACGUGAAAGGGGAGCAAUCCCCCGGUAGGGUGGCAAACGGGUGAGUAAGACAUGGGUGAUCUGCCCUGGAGAUGGGGAUAUCCCUCCGAAAGGGGGGGCAAUACCGAAUAGUAUCCGGUUCCGUGAAGGGGGCCGGGGAAAGGGAGGCCUCUGGUACAAGCUUCCGCUCCUGGAUGAGCCCAUGGCCCAUCAGCUAGUUGGUAGGGUAAAGGCCUACCAAGGCGACGACGGGUAGCUGGUCUGAGAGGACAACCAGCCACACUGGCACUGAGACACGGGCCAGACUCCUACGGGAGGCAGCAGUGAGGAAUAUUGCGCAAUGGGGGCAACCCUGACGCAGCAACGCCGCGUGUGGGAAGAAGGCUUUCGGGUUGUAAACCACUUUUGCCCGGGACGAAAGGGGGGGCCUGAAUAAGGUCACCCGAUGACGGUACCGGGAGAAUAAGCCACGGCUAACUCUGUGCCAGCAGCCGCGGUAAGACAGAGGUGGCAAGCGUUGUUCGGAGUUACUGGGCGUAAAGAGUCUGUAGGUGGUCUGUCAAGUCUUUGGUGAAAGGCCGUGGCUUAACCAUGGGAAUGCCAAAGAGACUGGCAGACUGGAGGCUGGGAGAGGGAAGCGGAAUUUCUGGUGUAGCGGUGAAAUGCGUAGAUAUCAGAAGGAAGGCCGGUGGCGAAGGCGGCUUCCUGGAACAGACCUGACACUGAGAGACGAAAGCGUGGGGAGCAAACAGGAUUAGAUACCCU
rnacentral:rRNA from 1 species